AGAACAGAUGGCAGGAUUAACCCAGUGGGGUUGGUGGCAGUGAGUGUGCUGAGUCACUCAGCAGGCUCUGUGCUCUCUGCCAUCCCUGCAGCACAGCUGGUUCCUGUCUAAGACAGCUGACUGGAUUUGCCCCAUAAUGCUGCACCUUCUGCCUGGUGUUCCUGCUGUUACACUGAGACUGGCAGGAGCAACCACAUCCAGCUUCCAGGAAGACAAUAAACGAUUGGAGCCUGCUGCUGGAGCUCCUGACUGACUGUUGGGACUUGAACAUCUUCAUUUCGAGUCCAGCAGGCAGAGCACUGGCAUUUUUACAGGUUUGAAGCAGAGGAGACUGCUGGAACAUGCAGUUAUUUGCUUAAGGUGACAGACAUGCCAGGGUCCUGAAGGACAGUAGUAGUUGAAAAUGGCAACCACAGACCUGUUCUUGUUAUGUAGAGGCAUCUCCCCGGGGUGAUGAAACCAGGAAAAGCUGUGUGUGGGUUUGGAAUAGUGCCUGUCCUCUCUGCCAACACAUCCCUCCACAAUGCUGCUGAUGUGGCAUUUCGUGACUGUUCCAAACAGAAACACUGACUGGUGGUCUUGAAGCUUGAUUACAGAAAUGGUGGAGGCAGAUGUGCUUUGGUCUCCUCUCUAGCAGUUAAAAGUACUGAGGACAGGAUUGCUGAAUUUUUAUCCACAUCUGCUUAGGCAGAAGUUCAGUGGUUCUAAUUUUCCUUGGCCAGUGACACUUCUGGAGCUGGUUUUUGAGACAGCUUUCCUCUUUACAGGAUAUUUUCUCUACAAAAUUACAAGUGAUAAUAGGUAAUAUUCUGCAGGAGCACGGACGAUGUCAUAUGUGAAGGAAACUACUGAACUUCAGAUAACCUUCCAGUCUGAUUUGAUUACUCAAUUCACCUUUAGAAUAAAGUCUGAUUCAGAGAUAGGAACUGAUCUAGUUUUUCAUAAACUAGAUUCAUUUUCUACACCAUUUUCUUGUACCUUUACGAGCUAAUCUAGCUAACCUUUUUCAUGUGGGUUCUUUCAGGUGAUCACAGAAUGCUGUAGCUGCCCUUUUGUUUUUCUGUUUUUCUAAGCCAAAAGUGCUGCUUUGCUGAUCCUUCUGAUUUCCUAAAAGUAGUAAAAAACCUAAAAUCUAGCAGAUCUAACUAUUUUGAAGUAGUGGAAGCCCAUGUAUGUUCUCCCUCCUCCCUCCUCUGCCCCAUCUCUCCGUCUCUUACUAUGUUUUGCCCACUGUUAGCCCUUUCCUUUUUGAUUGUCAGGUAGUAAGUUCAGCAUGAAGAGUAUCUGGGAUGUAGAGAAUUGAGCCCUGUUGGCAUGGGAGGGGGUCUGUUGGGAUGUGCAGACAGCCUGCUCUUGACCCCCUUGCAGCAUCCUCCAGGUAGCUGUGAGGGCAGAAAGGAUGGAAAUUAUGCACAGUGGAACUGCAGCACCUUGUCCUGCAGAACUCCUGAGUCCUUGAUAUACUCAGGGAAGGUGUGUGUACUGUGCCAGUGCCCCAAGCAAAAUGUUUAUCUGUCUUCUCUUCACCAAGAUGCUGAUUUCUAAAUAAACACUCUAGUCUGCUUUCCCCUGUGCUGUGCAUCUUACUCCUGCCUUGGCACUUAAGUGUCUACAGGUAGGGAAAGUGAUCCUGGGGUAAAGGAAGAGUGAUGUGUGCUGGGUACUGUGCUGACUAGUUCUGAAUAAAUGCCUCUUGUUCCUAAUGUUCUGUGAGAAUGCUAAGAAAAAAAAUACAGGGAAACUUGCAUGUGAUUUGGGUUGUAAAUUAUUUGGCUGUAACUCUUAAGUCCUUAAAACAGUCUGUAACAACAAGAUAAAGGAGGUACCAGAGGUUGGAAAAGGCUUGCUUGACACAUUGCACUUGGAAAUGUAGCAUGCCAUCUCCUUCCUUUCCUGGUGGAUGCAGCCAUGAAGUGGGACCACUCAAAGACUCUGAAAUCAUACAUUUUUUAUACACCUGUGCUUUCCUGAGUGUCACUUGUUUGGGAUGCUGUGUAAAACAUUUUGAUUUAACUUAAUUUCAUCUGAUUUUAUUGGAUUGUGGAGAGCUGUUAGUUUCUCAUUUAAACUGCCACAUAGCAUUUAAAUUCAUUAAUUGACAAUUAUCUAACAAGCAACAGGAAUAGCUCUCUUGCUGGGCUGAAGCCCGAAAAGCCCAUUUGAACCUUUACAAAUGCUAGCACAUUUAAUGAGCUAACAGUGAAUUUGAGUUUCUGCAGGUUCAGUGGGAACUCUUCCUAAUUGAUGGCCAAUUGGAUUUUUCCCUUCAAUCUGGGAGAGGUAAUGAAACAGAGACAGUGUUCAGAGCACUCCACAGAGAGUCUGUCUUCAGAAGUUGUUCCUUCUGUCUCCAUCCUGAGGCUGGACUGAAACUGCCUCCCAUUUCAAAGGGUUAGCAGCUGAUAUACAUUAUUUAGAGUUCCUGUAAUUUUAUGUACGAGGAAAUUGGGGGGUUAUUAUAUUGCAUUUAAGUGUCAACUGUAAUACAUUCUGUCACCUAAACUGCCUUCUUUUAGGGUGGGGAACUAGAAGUGUGAUUAUAAUUAGCACUGGCCAAGGCAGCACAGUGGUGGAGUCCAGAUAUUCUCAUCUGGAAUGGAGAUGAGAAUUUGAUGUUUUGACAGCAGCCCAUCCUUUGCCUCAUUUAUUUGCCUUUGGUAUGUAGGUGGUACAGAUACUCAUGGGUUGAGGUUUUAGUUUGUCACUUUGUGUGUGUGAAUAUUGAGUGCUAAUUACAUCACACAGCUGCUGAACAUGAGCAUCAUACAUCAAAGGUACAGAGCUCGACCUGAAGGCAGAAUUGGCUGAGGUGGUUUGUUUCAAAGGAGCUUUUUCUACCUUACAAAUUCAAGUUCAAAGUGCUGGGUGAAAGCUGGAGUCACUGCUGAGGUUAAGCUAAGAAUUGCUGGGAGAGCUACACUGGAAGUGCUUUUUCAGGGGAAAAGCCACCAUACAGAUGAAGUGCUCUUGCUGUGGAAUCAGCUGCGCUGGCAGAGCUGUUCAUUGAGCUGUUUUAGUAACAUUUCUCCCUGGAGUGGAGCACACACAUGAAAUGAGCUUUCCAGCCAAAAGCAUGUGCUGCCAGUACAAACAUGUCUGCACAGAGGGGCUUCAGCUGGCACAGCCCUGUCCUGCACAGCCCCACCU